GUAGGUGAACCUGCGGAAGGAUCAUUAACGAGUUUUGAAGUGGGUUUGAUGCUGGCCUUCUCAGGCAUGUGCUCGCCCUAGUCUCAUCCACUCACACCUGUGCACCUAUAAAUGCCAGAAGAUUCAUCCCCUAGACUCUUAGGGGUGUGGUUCAAGGCAACUUGGACUGUUGGGUUGAAUCUUUUGCGUUUACUUUUCAUAAACUCUUGAAUGUAAUAGAAUGUCCAUGGCCUACGGGCUUUAUAAAUGAAAUACAACUUUCAACAACGGAUCUCUUGGCUCUC
rnacentral:misc_RNA from 1 species